GAUGAAGAACGUAGUGAAAUGCGAUAAGUAGUGUGAAUUGCAGAAUUCAGUGAAUCAUCGAAUCUUUGAACGCACAUUGCGCCCCUUGGUAUUCCAUGGGGCAUGCCUGUUCGAGCGUCAUUUGUACCUUCAAGCUCUGCUUGGUGUUGGGUGUUUGUCUCGCCUCUGCGCGCAGACUCGCCUCAAAACAAUUGGCAGCCGGCGUAUUGAUUUCGGAGCGCAGUACAUCUCGCGCUUUGCACUCAUAACGACGACGUCCAUAAAGUACAUUUUUUACACUCUUGACCUCGGAUCAGGUGGGGAUACCCGCUGAACUUAAGCAUAUCAAUAAGCGGAGGA
rnacentral:misc_RNA from 1 species